AUUUCCGCCGGCGCGAAACGAGCGUAGCUUCCUUGUCGUGUGGCCUCAGUCCUUCGCCGUCCCUCGCCGUCCUUCGCCAUCGCACGCCACCGCACCCCAUCUCUCGAAAUCUGCAGACAUCUUGAUUUUUCCCACGCUGUCUGUCAGGUCUCCGCCGCCACUCGACGCCAGGGCGCCGGGCCUUGUGGGCUGUGCUGCACCUCGGACGGCUUCGCACCAGCCAGCGCCCUCUCUCUCCUGCAGCACUCUGAUCUGCACCCCCUGAGGGGCUUCCACUGUCCGCGGGGUGAGAAUGCCCCUGGGAGUGUCACAUGACUGCCGCCCCAUGUGUGUGAGAGGCGUCCUCUGGGAGAGCAUGGAUCCUGAGGUCCCAGGAUUGUCAGCUGACCUCUGUCCUGUGUGCCCAGUGGCCCCAGGUGACGUGUCUUCAAGAAGAGGCUGAGCUGCGGUGCUUGUAAGGGUCUCAUUCUGUCACCCAGGCUGGAGUGCAGUGGUGCAAUGAUGGCUCACUGCAGCCUCGACCUGGGCUCAAGUGAUCCUCCACCUCAGCUUCCUGAGUAGCUGGGACCACAGAGUCAUGUGCUGUUCCUGGGGCUUGGAUGAUGUAGGGGAAGCAAGGUGAAAGUGGUAUCCCGUGGUUCCACGUUCUGUCCUGCUGUGGGGCUGUCCCUCACAUGCUUUCAGUGGCUGUUGCAGAGGAAGAGCCUCCGGAAAUCUGCGUGGGUAAAGUCUCAGCCUUAGAUCCAAGGACAGUCCAAGGAAGUCCUAAGACCAUGGAGUUGGUGAUCUGGGAUCUGGGUUUGCUGAUAUUUCUCACCGUGAAUCUCUUGGUGGUGUUUGUGGGCACGAGAGGGGCAGAGAAUGGAGAGUGAGGCUACCACAUGAAGCGUCACCAGAGCUGCUCCCUGCUGCCUGCUCAGAGCACCCCGGAUCCACUGUUCAAUCUGCACAAGAUUCGGGGUCCAGACAUGGGAGACUUCAGCUGCCUCAGAGGACCGUGGACAGGGAAGGCCAGCCUCGCAUCCCUCUGUCCAUGCCUGGAAUGACUUUAAUAACCAAGAGUUUUAUUUUUGAAUUUGUAGCUGUCGUUCACUUUUUACCCACCCAUUCAAUAAACCUUACAGAAUUGCUCCAUGUGCUUCUUAAAUCAGUGACAACCUGUGAGCCUGCCAGGCUGGCUUUGGAGAAGAGGGAGGAAUCUACACAUGUCCCAGGGGCCAUGGUGAAAAGGU
rnacentral:lncRNA from 1 species